rnacentral:rRNA from 1 species
CCGGGUUGCGGACAGUGUCUGGUGGGUAGUUUGACUGGGGCGGUCUCCUCCUAAAGAGUAACGGAGGAGCACGAAGGUUGGCUAAUCCUGGUCGGACAUCAGGAGGUUAGUGCAAUGGCAUAAGCCAGCUUGACUGCGAGCGUGACGGCGCGAGCAGGUGCGAAAGCAGGUCAUAGUGAUCCGGUGGUUCUGAAUGGAAGGGCCAUCGCUCAACGGAUAAAAGGUACUCCGGGGAUAACAGGCUGAUACCGCCCAAGAGUUCAUAUCGACGGCGGUGUUUGGCACCUCGAUGUCGGCUCAUCACAUCCUGGGGCUGAAGUAGGUCCCAAGGGUAUGGCUGUUCGCCAUUUAAAGUGGUACGCGAGCUGGGUUUAGAACGUCGUGAGACAGUUCGGUCCCUAUCUGCCGUGGGCGCUGGAGAAUUGAGGGGGGCUGCUCCUAGUACGAGAGGACCGGAGUGGACGCAUCACUGGUGUUCGGGUUGUCAUGCCAAUGGCACUGCCCGGUAGCUAAAUGCGGAAGAGAUAAGUGCUGAAAGCAUCUAAGCACGAAACUUGCCCCGAGAUGAGUUCUCCCUGACUCCUUGAGAGUCCUGAAGGAACGUUGAAGACGACGACGUUGAUAGGCCGGGUGUGUAAGCGCAGCGAUGCGUUGAGCUAACCGGUACUAAUGAGCCGUGAGGCUUAACCUUACAACGCCGAAG